GUGGAACUGCCGGCUUUUGCCCUCUGACUCUCGAAGCCUCUUUCUCAGAACCUCAGACUCCGCCUCGACAUCCUUGACCGCCUGCUGCUCGUGGGCCAGCUGAAUCUUCAGUCGCUGCAGUUCGGCCUCCUCCCACCCAAGGGCCACAAAUAGUUCUGCCAUGGUCCCCCUCAUGGAGCAGAGCUCGUCAGAGCCUUGUGCAGAGGUGGGCU
rnacentral:lncRNA from 1 species